UACGGAGGGUGCGAGCGUUGUCCGGAAUCACUGGGCGUAAAGGGCGCGUAGGCGGCUUGAUAAGCGUGCGGUGAAAGCCCGGGGCUCAACCCCGGGUCGGCCGUGCGAACUGUCGAGCUGGAGCACUGUAGAGGCAGGUGGAAUUCCGGGUGUAGCGGUGGAAUGCGUAGAGAUCCGGAAGAACACCGGUGGCGAAGGCGGCCUGCUGGGCAGUGGCUGGACGCUGAGGCGCGACAGCGUGGGGAGCAACAGGAUUGAGAAAACCCGU
rnacentral:rRNA from 1 species